rnacentral:rRNA from 1 species
CCUACGGGAGGCAGCAGUGGGGAAUAUUGCACAAUGGGGGAAACCCUGAUGCAGCGACGCCGCGUGAGUGAAGAAGUAAUUAGUUAUGUAAAGCUCUAUCAGCAGGGAAGAAAAUGACGGUACCUGAGUAAGUAGCCCCGGCUAACUACGUGCCAGAUACCAUGGUAACAUGCAGGGGGCAAGCGUUAUCCGGAUUUACUGGGUGUAAAGGGGGCGUAGACGGCAGUGCAAGUCUGGAGGGAAAGGCGGGGGCUCAACCCCCGGACUGCCCUGGAAACUGUUCGGCUGGAGUGGAGGAGAGGUAAGCGGAAUGCCUGGUGUAGCGGUGAAAUGCGUAGAUAUUAGGCAGAACACCAGUGGCGAAGGCAGCUUACUGGACUGUAACUGACGUUGAGGCUCGAAAGCGUGGGGAGCAAACAGGAUUAGAUACCCGGGUAGUC